AGCAUCUUAUUAAUACGUCAAAGAGUUUGAAUUGGCACGUAAGGGUUGACGAGUUCCAAGAUGAGACACCUUACAUAACAAAGACAUUCCGUAAUAUUAAAGCAACCUAUGACCCUUCCAAACCACAACGUCUAGUCCUAUCAGCUCAUUAGGACUCCAAAAACCUUACUGACGGCAGAAAAUAUUUUGUAGCGGCCACAGAUUCCGCUGUUCCAUGUGCUAUUUUACUUGACAUGACUAAACAACUAGACUGUCUUCUUACUAAAGAAAAAAGUAAUAGG
rnacentral:lncRNA from 1 species